GGGAAUUUUUCGCAAUGGGCGAAAGCCUGACGAAGCAACGCCGCGUGGAGGAUGAAGGCCCUAGCGGUCGUAAACUCCUGUCUAGCGGGACGAAAGUCAAUGGGGUGAAUAAUCCCGUUGGUUGACUGUACCGCUGGAGGAAGCUCCGGCAAACUCCGUGCCAGCAGCCGCGGUCAUACGGGGGGGGCAAGCGUUGUUCGGAAUUACUGGGCGUAAAGGGCGCGUAGGCGGUUUGCUAAGUUGGAUGUGAAAACUCUGGGCUCAACCCAGAGCCUGCAUCCAAAACUGGCUGGCUAGAGUUCUGGAGGGGGAAGCGGAAUUCCUGGUGUAGCGGUGAAAUGCGUAGAUAUCAGGAGGAACACCGGUGGCGAAGGCGGCUUCCUGGACAGAAACUGACGCUGAGGCGCGAAAGCUAGGGAAGCAA
rnacentral:rRNA from 1 species